rnacentral:rRNA from 1 species
UACGGGGGGGGCAAGCGUUGUUCGGAAUUACGGGGCGUAAAGGGCCCGGAGGCGGCCAACUAAGGCAGACGUGAAAUCCCUCGGCUUAACCGGGGAACUGCGUCUGAUACUGGAUGGCUUGAGAUUGGGAGAGGGAUGCGGAAUUCCAGGUGUAGCGGUGAAAUGCGUAGAUAUCUGGAGGAACACCGGUGGCGAAGGCGGCAUCCUGGACCAACACUGACGCUGAUGAGCGAAAGCCAGGGGAGCAAACGGG